rnacentral:rRNA from 2 species
AAUAGUAUACAGUGAAACUGCGAAUGGCUCAUUAAAACAGUUAUAGUUUAUUUGAUAAUGGAACUUUACAUGGAUAACCGUGGUAAUUCUAGAGCUAAUACAUGCUAUAUGCCCGGCUUCUGGCAGGGCUGUAUUUAUUAGAUACUAAACCAGUGUCGCAAGACAUUGUGGUGAAUCACAGUAACUGAUCGAAUCGGCGCGCAAGCGGCGAUAAAUCAUUCAAGUUUCUGCCCUAUCAGCUUUCGAUGGUAGUGUAUUGGACUACCAUGGCAGUCACGGGUAACGGAGAAUUAGGGUUCGGUUCCGGAGAGGGAGCCUGAGAAACGGCUACCACAUCUAAGGAAGGCAGCAGGCGCGUAAAUUACCCAAUCCUGAUUCAGGGAGGUAGUGACAAGAAAUAACAACCUGGGGGCUUCAAGCCUUGCGGGAUUGCAAUGAGAACAAUACAGAUCACUUAGCGAGAAACAAUUGGAGGGCAAGUCUGGUGCCAGCAGCCGCGGUAAUUCCAGCUCCAAUAGCGUAUAUUAAAGUUGUUGCAGUUAAAAAGCUCGUAGUUGAAUGUCUGAUCAGCGUGUAUUUCGGCUCUCGUCGUGUACACGUUGGUCAUCCGCAUAUGAAUCCAGUGAGGCAUUCAUUUGUUUGACUGGGGGAGUGUGCAAUUUACUUUGAAAAAAUUAGAGUGUUUCAGGCAGGCAAUGGCUUGAAUACAUUAGCAUGGAAUAAUGGAAUAGGACUAGAGUCAAUUUUAUUGGUUAUUUGACUUUAGUAAUGAUUAAUAGGGACAGUUGGGGGCAUUAGUAUUUAAUUGUCAGAGGUGAAAUUCUUGGAUUUAUUAAAGACUAACUUAUGCGAAAGCAUUUGCCAAGGAUGUUUUCAUUAAUCAAGAACGAAAGUUAGGGGAUCAAAGACGAUCAGAUACCGUCCUAGUCUUAACUAUAAACUAUACCGACUCGGGAUCGGGUGGGAUGUUCAAGCCUGCUCGGCACCGUAAGAGAAAUCAAAGUCUUUGGGUUCUGGGGGGAGUAUGGUCGCAAGGCUGAAACUUAAAGGAAUUGACGGAAGGGCACCACCAGGAGUGGAGCCUGCGGCUUAAUUUGACUCAACACGGGGAAACUUACCAGGUCAAAACAUGGGUGGGAUUGACAGAUUGAGAGCUCUUUCUUGAUUCUGUGGGUGGUGGUGCAUGGCCGUUCUUAGUUGGUGGAGUGAUUUGUCUGGUUAAUUCCGUUAACGAACGAGACCUUAACCUGCUAAAUAGUUGCGCUAAAUCAAGCGUUAACUUCUUAGAGGGACUUCGUGUAUCAAGCAUGAGGAAGUUUGAGGCAAUAACAGGUCUGUGAUGCCCUUAGAUGUCCUGGGCCGCACGCGCGCUACAAUGACACGUGCAGCGAGUAUUUCCUUGCCUGAAAAGGUCGGGUAAACUUCAUAAUGCGUGUCGCGAUAGGGAUAGACCUUUGCAAUUAUAGGUCUUGAACGAGGAAUUCCUAGUAAGUGCAAGUCAUCAGCUUGUACUGAUUACGUCCCUGCCCUUUGUACACACCGCCCGUCGCUCCUACCGAUUCGAGUGAUCCGGUGAACCUUCUGGAUUGGUUAAUGCCUCGUGUAUUGAUCGAGAAGUUAAGUAAACCUUAUCACUUAGAGGAAGGAGAAGUCGUAACAAGGUUUCCGUAGGUGAACCUGCGGAAGGAUCAUUAUCAACAUAUUUACAACCUAAUCUUAGUUGGAAAAGUGGUGGACUUCCCAGUGAUGAUAGCAAUAUCGUCGCUGGGGGUACACCAAAUUUCUUAAACCUUAUUCCUAGCUUUAGCAUAAAAACUAAGCCAGAAAUAUAAAAAUUGAAAAAUUUUCAACGGUGGAUAUCUAGGUUCCCGUAACGAUGAAGAACGCAGCGAAAUGCGAUACGCAAUGCGAAUUGCAGAAUCCGCGAGUCAUCAGAUCUUUGAACGCAAGUGGCACCGAUCAUAUCGGUAUGUUUGUUUCAGUGUGGAAGGAAUCACAAAUCUAAAUGCGAUUGAUAGCUCGGGGUUCCUGCAUGUGGCAACACUGUAGGGGUUCUUGAAACAUCUCUCGUUAAACACGACCGGUUCUGUGAGAAUUCACGGGACGCUCGCGCAACGAAGUAGUCUCAUUAUUGAGAUCUCGGGGCGAGUAUCAGAGCGGAAAAACCUGAGUUUUCGAUAAAAACACAGUUAACCAAUCACUAUGAAAAAUUAAAACUUUCUAUCACCACCUGAAAUCAAGCAAGACGACCCGCUGAACUUAAGCAUAUCAGUAAGCGGAGGAAAAGAAACUAACAAGGAUUGCCUCAGUAGCGGCGAGUGAACCGGCAAAAGCUCAAAGUUAAAAUCUUUAGCGUACAGUUAAAGAAUUGUAAUCUUGAGGUGCGAUCGGAAGUCAUGGAGGAAGCAUAAGUUGGUUGAAAAACCGCGCCAAAGAGGGUGAAAGCCCCGUAGUAGGCGUCCUCCUAGACGUACGAAAGUAACCACAGAGUCGGGUUGUUUGGGAAUGCAGCCCUAAAUGGGAGAUAAACUUCUUCUAAAGCUAAAUACAAACGGGAAACCGAUAGCGAACAAGUACUGCGAAGGAAAGAUGAAAAGAACUUUGAAAAGAGAGUUAAAAGACUUGAAACCGUUGAGAAGGAAGCGGUAGAAGAGCAAUUAAUCGACCGGGCUGUUGUGACUAGAGUACGGUAACUGCGGCGAAGAGUGACGUCAAAGCACUUAAGUCGUAAGUGAACCGGACUCAGGAACUUUUUCACGGUCGAAAGGCAAAAUGAGGUCCACGCUGCCGGAAUCACUACCCACUAGAUCUGUGGAAUAGAAAACGGCAGAC